rnacentral:lncRNA from 1 species
CUUGGAAAUUAGCUUAUUUUGUGCCUUGGCCUUAAACUUUAAUAUCUUACAACAACAAAUGGAGGCCAAGUGAUGAAGGACUAUGGGAAAGCUAUAUUAUUGCUCACUGCACUAUAUUAUAUGCAAGAACAGAGAUCUUCAGUUUCCAAACUAGCAACUAAGUGCUUUUUAUAAACCACUGAAUUCACUGAAGGUUUCUAUUAUUAGUAGCUCUCUGUAGUUCCAAAACCUCCUUUUUAACACUCUGGCUUUUUUAAUUAAGUAUAAAGACAAAACCUAUCAAGGAGUUUAGUUGGUGCCUUGGUCAAACACUAAAUUCAGUGCUCAGGCACCACUAAUACUUUUCAGCCCUCAUGCAGCUGCAGCCCAGCAUCUCAAAGCAUCGUGGUGCUUACACAACAAAUCCUCAAGCCCUGACCCUGCCUGGACUCUGAGCGCAAACUCCCUCACAAGAGCAACAACUGACUCCACAGAGCAACAUUAGUCCACUCUUCUGUGAAGGAAGAGUGUCAGGUUUAAAUUCUUCCUCCAUUAGCUCUUUAAUCAAUUAUGCAAAUUGGCAAAGUUUCAAAAGGAGAAAGUCACUCACUUCAUCCCAAAAUAGCCAUUCAGUCAGUAGUUAGGGCACAUUUCUGACCUGAAAGUGUCUAUGAGUGAAGUAUUUUCUCCACUUCAGACACGUGGGGAAGUUUUUAAAAGGUCAUCCACCCAAAUGUUUGUGAAAUAUGAGCACGUACUUCCAGUAAGAUAUCCUUGAAGAACUAAAUGUCUCAGGGGACUGGUAAUCACAUUUUUGGAGCCUUUCACCUCUAGUUCACUGAUUCAAAUACAGCCAACAUGAAGUAGUGACGGAAAAUCAUUGCAGUUUGAGAGCUGGUUUGUGGCCUGUGUGAAAUGAACUGGUUAUUUCACUCCAUUUCUUAAAGGAUCCUGGAAAGCACUCAGCACUUUUAAAAACAGUGCUGAGGAUGCUGAGCUCCUCACAGGAUCCAGCCAGCACCCAUGAAGACACAACUGGGUCUGAUUUCUUUGAGGACGGCAGAGGCCAAGACUGACAAAUAAAAUCCCACUUCUGAUCCA